AGAGUUUGAUCCUGGCUCAGGAUGAACGCUAGCUACAGGCUUAACACAUGCAAGUCGAGGGGCAGCAUGACCUAGCAAUAGGUUGAUGGCGACCGGCGCACGGGUGAGUAACACGUAUCCAACCUACCGGUUAUUCCGGGAUAGCCUUUCGAAAGAAAGAUUAAUACCGGAUAGUAUAGCGAGAAGGCAUCUUCUUGUUAUUAAAGAAUUUCGAUAACCGAUGGGGAUGCGUUCCAUUAGUUUGUUGGCGGGGUAACGGCCCACCAAGACAUCGAUGGAUAGGGGUUCUGAGAGGAAGGUCCCCCACAUUGGAACUGAGACACGGUCCAAACUCCUACGGGAGGCAGCAGUGAGGAAUAUUGGUCAAUGGACGAGAGUCUGAACCAGCCAAGUAGCGUGAAGGAUGACUGCCCUAUGGGUUGUAAACUUCUUUUAUAUGGGAAUAAAGUGAGCCACGUGUGGCUUUUUGUAUGUACCAUACGAAUAAGGAUCGGCUAACUCCGUGCCAGCAGCCGCGGUAAUACGGAGGAUCCGAGCGUUAUCCGGAUUUAUUGGGUUUAAAGGGAGCGUAGGCGGACUAUUAAGUCAGCUGUGAAAGUUUGCGGCUCAACCGUAAAAUUGCAGUUGAUACUGGUCGUCUUGAGUGCAGUAGAGGUAGGCGGAAUUCGUGGUGUAGCGGUGAAAUGCUUAGAUAUCACGAAGAACUCCGAUUGCGAAGGCAGCUUACUGGACUGUAACUGACGCUGAUGCUCGAAAGUGUGGGUAUCAAACAGGAUUAGAUACCCUGGUAGUCCACACAGUAAACGAUGAAUACUCGCUGUUUGCGAUAUACGGCAAGCGGCCAAGCGAAAGCAUUAAGUAUUCCACCUGGGGAGUACGCCGGCAACGGUGAAACUCAAAGGAAUUGAC
rnacentral:rRNA from 1 species